GCUUAACCCAUGCAAGUCGAACGAUGAAGCCCCUUUCGGUGGGGAUUAGUGGCGAACGGGUGAGUAACACGUGGGCAAUCUGCCCUGCACUCUGGGACAAGCCCUGGAAACGGGGUCUAAUACCGGAUACUGAUCGCCUUGGGCAUCCUUGGUGAUCGAAAGCUCCGGCGGUGCAGGAUGAGCCCGCGGCCUAUCAGCUUGUUGGUGAGGUAAUGGCUCACCAAGGCGACGACGGGUAGCCGGCCUGAGAGGGCGACCGGCCACACUGGGACUGAGACACGGCCCAGACUCCUACGGGAGGCAGCAGUGGGGAAUAUUGCACAAUGGGCGAAAGCCUGAUGCAGCGACGCCGCGUGAGGGAUGACGGCCUUCGGGUUGUAAACCUCUUUCAGCAGGGAAGAAGCGAAAGUGACGGUACCUGCAGAAGAAGCGCCGGCUAACUACGUGCCAGCAGCCGCGGUAAUACGUAGGGCGCGAGCGUUGUCCGGAAUUAUUGGGCGUAAAGAGCUCGUAGGCGGCUUGUCGCGUCGGUUGUGAAAGCCCGGGGCUUAACCCCGGGUCUGCAGUCGAUACGGGCAGGCUAGAGUUCGGUAGGGGAGAUCGGAAUUCCUGGUGUAGCGGUGAAAUGCGCAGAUAUCAGGAGGAACACCGGUGGCGAAGGCGGAUCUCUGGGCCGAUACUGACGCUGAGGAGCGAAAGCGUGGGGAGCGAACAGGAUUAGAUACCCUGGUAGUCCACGCCGUAAACGGUGGGCACUAGGUGUGGGCGACAUUCCACGUCGUCCGUGCCGCAGCUAACGCAUUAAGUGCCCCGCCUGGGGAGUACGGCCGCAAGGCUAAAACUCAAAGGAAUUGACGGGGACCCGCACAAGCGGCGGAGCAUGUGGCUUAAUUCUGACGCAACGCGAAGAACCUUACCAAGGCUUGACAUACACCGGAAAACCCUGGAGACAGGGUCCCCCUUGUGGUCGUGUACAGGUGGUGCAUGGCUGUCGUCAGCUCGUGUCCUGAGAUGUUGGGUUAAGUCCCGCAACGANGCGCAACCCUU
rnacentral:rRNA from 1 species